AUGCUUCUACCUAAAGACUAAGCCAUGCAUGUCUUACGAAUAAGAGGAAGCAAUUCUCUCUGAAUCUGCGAACGGCUCCGACAAACCAGUUAGUAAACUAUAGACAAGACAAGCUCGUCGCCCUUCACCGGGUGCGGGCAACACGGAUAAACCUGGUAAUUCUGAGGCUAAUACGAGAUCGUACUCCCUGGCUGACCGGGCAACUGGAAGGCUGGGAGGUGUGCGAUUUAGCACGAGGAAUCUGCUGGGAAUAGACA
rnacentral:rRNA from 1 species